rnacentral:misc_RNA from 1 species
UCUCCGUAGGUGAACCUGCGGAGGGAUCAUUACUGAGUGAGGGCUUCGGUCCGACCUCCAACCCUUUGUGAACCAAACUUGUUGCUUCGGGGGCGACCCUGCCGCUUCGGCGUUGCGGCGCCCCCGGAGGCCAUUAAACACUGCAUCAUUGCGUCGUAGUUAAAGUAAAUUAAACAAUACUUUCACCAACGGAUCUCUUGGUUCCAGCAUCGAUGAAGAACGAAGC